UGCAUGUACCCGAAGAAUAAGGACCGGCUAAUUCCGUGCCAGCAGCCGCGGUAAUACGGAAGGUCCGGGCGUUAUCCGGAUUUAUUGGGUUUAAAGGGAGCGCAGGCUGUCCUUUAAGCGUGCUGUGAAAUGUAGGCGCUCAACGUCUGCACUGCAGCGCGAACUGGAGGACUUGAGUACGCGGGAAGUAGGCGGAAUUCGUCGUGUAGCGGUGAAAUGCUUAGAUAUGACGAAGAACUCCGAUUGCGAAGGCAGCUUACUGUAGCGCCACUGACGCUAAAGCUCGAAAGUGCGGGUAUCGAACAGGAUUAGAUACCCUG
rnacentral:rRNA from 1 species